rnacentral:rRNA from 1 species
AUUGAACGCUGGCGGCAGGCCUAACACAUGCAAGUCGAGCGAGCGGCGGACGGGUGAGUAAUGUCUGGGAAACUGCCUGAUGUAGGGGGAUAACUACUGGAAACGGUAGCUAAUACGGCAUACCAUCAGAUGUGCCCAGAUGGGAUUAGCUAGUAGGUGGGGUCACGGCUCACCUCGGCGACGAUCCCUAGCUGGUCUGAGAGGAGGAUCAACAACCUGGGAGGGGAGACAGGGUCCAUAGUCCUACGGGAGGGAGCAGUGGGGAAUAGUGCACAAUGGGGGCGAGCCUGAUGCAGCCAUGCGGCGUGUGUGAAGAAGGCCUUCGGGUUGUAAAGCACUUUCAGCGGGGAGGCGUUACCCGCAGAAGAAGCACCGGCUAACUCCGUGCCAGCAGCCGCGGUAAUUC